rnacentral:rRNA from 1 species
UACGAAGGGGGCUAGCGUUGCUCGGAAUCACUGGGCGUAAAGGGUGCGUAGGCGGGUCUUUUAAGUCAGGGGUGAAAUCCUGGAGCUCAACUCCAGAACUGCCUUUGAUACUGAAGAUCUUGAGUUCGGGAGAGGUGAGUGGAACUGCGAGUGUAGAGGUGAAAUUCGUAGAUAUUCGCAAGAACACCAGUGGUGAAGGCGGCUCACUGGCCCGAUACUGACGCUGAGGCACGAAAGCGUGGGGAGCAAACAGGG